rnacentral:rRNA from 1 species
GACGAACGCUGGCGGCGCGCUUAACACAUGCAAGUCGAACGGAAAGGCCUGCUUUCCCUUGUGGAUUGCGGGUACUCGAGUGGCGAACGGGUGAGUAACACGUGAGUGAUCUUCCCCCAACUUGGGUAUAAGCCUGGGAAACUGGGUCUAAUUCCCGAUAGGACUGCAGGGUGGUGCCUGUGGUGGAAAACGAUUUUCUAGUGGUUGGGGAUGAGCUCGCGGCCUAUCAGCUUGUUGGUGGGGUAAUGGCCUACCAAGGCGGGGACGGGUAGCCGGCCUGGGAGGGUGGACGGGCACAUUGGGACUGAGAUACGGCCCCGACUCCUACGGGAGGCAGCAGUGGGGAGUAUUGCGCAAUGGGCGGAAGCCUGAUGCAGCGACGCCGCGUGGGGGAUGACGUGCUUCGGGUUGUAAACUCCUUUCGACCGCGAGGAAGCCACCUGGUUGGAAGGGUGGUGACGGUAGUGGUAGAAGAAGCACCGGCUAACUACGUG